rnacentral:rRNA from 1 species
CCUACGGGGGGCUGCAGUUUCGAAUCAUUCACAAUGGGCGAAAGCCUGAUGGUGCGACGCCGCGUGAGGGAUGAAGGUCUUCGGAUUGUAAACCUCUGUCACCGGGGAAGAAACGCUAUGCGAUAACAUCGCCUAGCCUGACUUAACCCGGAGAGGAAGCAGUGGCUAACUCUGUGCCAGCAGCCGCGGUAAUACAGAGACUGCAAGCGUUAUUCGGAUUCACUGGGCGUAAAGGGUGCGCAGGCGGCCGUGUGUGUGAGGUGUGAAAUCCCGGA